GAUGAAGAACGUAGCGAAAUGCGAUACGUAAUGUGAAUUGCAGAAUUCAGUGAAUCAUCGAGUCUUUGAACGCACAUUGUGCCCCCUGGUAUUCCGGGGGGCAUGCCUGUCCGAGCGUCAUUGCUGCCCUCAAGCACGGCUUGUGUGUUGGGCCUCCGUCCUCCUCCCGGGGGACGGGCCCGAAAGGCAGCGGCGGCACCGCGUCCGGUCCUCGAGCGUAUGGGGCUUCGUCACCCGCUCUUGUAGGCCCGGCCGGCGCUUGCCGACACAUCAAUCUUUUUUCCAGGUUGACCUCGGAUCAGGUAGGGAUACCCGCUGAACUUAAGCAUAUCAAUAAGCGGAGGA
rnacentral:misc_RNA from 1 species